AGUGAACGCUGGCGGUAGGCCUAACACAUGCAAGUCGAACGGCGGCACAGUAAGAGCUUGCUCUUACGGGUGGCGAGUGGCGGACGGGUGAGGAAUACAUCGGAAUCUACUUUUUCGUGGGGGAUAACGUAGGGAAACUUACGCUAAUACCGCAUACGACCUACGGGUGAAAGCAGGGGAUCUUCGGACCUUGCGCGAUUGAAUGAGCCGAUGUCGGAUUAGCUAGUUGGCGGGGUAAAGGCCCACCAAGGCGACGAUCCGUAGCUGGUCUGAGAGGAUGAUCAGCCACACUGGAACUGAGACACGGUCCAGACUCCUACGGGAGGCAGCAGUGGGGAAUAUUGGACAAUGGGCGCAAGCCUGAUCCAGCCAUACCGCGUGGAUGAAGAAGGCCUUCGGGUUGUAAAGCCCUUUUGUUGGGAAAGAAAAGCAGCAGGUUAAUACCCCGCUGUUCUGACGGUACCCAAAGAAUAAGCACCGGCUAACUUCGUG
rnacentral:rRNA from 1 species